rnacentral:rRNA from 1 species
GACGAACGCUGGCGGCGUGCUUAACACAUGCAAGUCGAACGGAAAGGCCCCAGCUUGCUGGGGUACUCGAGUGGCGAACGGGUGAGUAACACGUGGGUGAUCUGCCCUGCACUCUGGGAUAAGCCUGGGAAACUGGGUCUAAUACCGGAUAGGACCGUGCUUUAGUGUGUGCGGUGGAAAGUUUUUCGGUGCAGGAUGAGCCCGCGGCCUAUCAGCUUGUUGGUGGGGUAAUGGCCUACCAAGGCGGCGACGGGUAGCCGGCCUGAGAGGGUGUACGGCCACAUUGGGACUGAGACACGGCCCAGACGCCUACGGGAGGCAGCAGUGGGGAAUAUUGCACAAUGGGCGCAAGCCUGAUGCAGCGACGCCGCGUGGGGGAUGACGGCCUUCGGGUUGUAAACCCCUUUCGGCAGGGACGAAGCUUUUGUGACGGUACCUGCAUAAGAAGCACCGGCUAACUACGUG